GAAACUACGAAAGGAAUUGACGGGACCCCCGCACAAGCGGUGGAUCAUGUGUUUAAUUCGAUGAUACGCGAAGAACCUUACCAGGUCUUGACAUCCCCCGCGAUGCUUUAGAGAUAAAGCGGAGGUAUUCGGGGAGACAGGUGGUGCAUGGUUGUCGUCAGCUCGUGUCGUGAGAUGUUGGGUUAAGUCCCGCAACGAGCGCAACCCCUAUUGCUAGUUACCAUCAUUAAGUUGGGGACUCUAGCGAGACUGCCAGUGAUAAACUGGAGGAAGGUGGGGAUGACGUCAAAUCAUCAUGCCCCUUAUGACCUGGGCUACAAACGUGAUACAAUGGCUGGAACAAAGGGAUGCGAAGCAGUGAUGUGGAGCGAAACCCAUAAAAACAGUCUCAGUUCGGAUUGAAGUCUGCAACUCGACUUCAUGAAGUCGGAAUCGCUAGUAAUCGCGGAUCAGAACGCCGCGGUGAAUACGUUCUCGGGGUUU
rnacentral:rRNA from 1 species